GAUCAUGGCUCAGAUUGAGCGCUGGCGGCAUGCCUUACACAUGCAAGUCGAACGGUAACGGGCCUUCGGGUGCCGACGAGUGGCGAACGGGUGAGUAAUGCAUCGGAACGUACCUUCAGUGGGGGAUAACGUAGCGAAAGUUACGCUAAUACCGCAUAUUCUGUGAGCAGGAAAGCAGGGGAUCGCAAGACCUUGCGCUGAUUGAGCGGCCGAUGUCAGAUUAGCUAGUUGGUGAGGUAAAGGCUCACCAAGGCGACGAUCUGUAGCGGGGUCUGAGAGGAUGAUCCGCCACACUGGAACUGAGACACGGUCCAGACUCCUACGGGAGGCAGCAGUGGGGAAUUUUGGACAAUGGGGGCAACCCUGAUCCAGCCAUGCCGCGUGAGUGAAGAAGGCCUUCGGGUUGUAAAGCUCUUUCGGCCGGGAAGAAAUCGCAUGGGUUAAUACCCUGUGCGGAUGACGGUACCGGCAUAAGAAGCACCGGCUAACUACGUG
rnacentral:rRNA from 1 species